CAGCCCAACUUCUUCUGCCCAAUCCUGCUUCCUUCCCUUCCCUUCCAAGAGUAUUCCCUCCUCAGCUUCCUGCAUGCCAAUCUGACCCUUAAAGUUAGCUUCCAAGCUGCCAUAGCCACGGUCAGGUAACCUAGGAUGGUGAGAAAAAGGUUUUGCUCUUUUGGUUUCCAAGCAAUUAGAUGCUUCCAUGUCACCUAGUUACCUAGAGUAGUUGGCCUACGUGAAAGGAAGAGAAGUCAUCCCUCAAAAAGCUGCCAUUUUGUGUCAAUGAAGGAAGGACUAGAGACGAUCAACAAUACUCACAUCCCUGAUAUAAUUGAGAUUCUGUUCAAAGAAGAAAAAGAGUAAUUCGCUGAACACUUAUGAACCCACCACCCAGCUUGACGACUAAAAUAUUACCAAAUAUCGGUGAAAAUCCAGUGUGCGGCUAUUGCCUAAUGCUACCCUCCUACGUUCCCCCAAAGCAACAGGAUCCGAAGGAAACUUCUGACAGCUUUGGGGACAACAAGAAACACAGAUGUGCUACCUGCAAACCCUUGAGUUCUCCAUCUUGCUCGCUGUCUCUGAGGGCUGUGGGAAUCCAGGGGCUUAUCCAGUCCGAAGGGAAGUCCGCUGUCUUCUGACAUCAAGAGGAGAAGGAUCUGGAGACUGAUGAAUUGAAUUAACUAUCCAUCCACAAACAACAUCACCUUUGUGGGAGCUGUGAGAUCCAACACCAUUUGCCAAGGGACCUGGAAGGGGUCUUGCCCACCUGUGCAUCCAAUAAUAGGCAGACACACCUCUUCUACACCUCCGGACAGCAGAUCCAGGAGAACCCAUGAACCUGCCCCAAGCCCUCU
rnacentral:lncRNA from 1 species